GUUAGAAAAAAAAAGCCUCCUGUCAAGAUAUCUGGAUAUGCAUAUUGUUUUGACUAUUGGAUGGUAAAAAAAGAGAAGAAAGGAAGAAGGAAGCAAAAAAUUUAAGGUGAUGGAAAUUAGAGUCCUGCUUAAAAAAUACAGAUGUUCUGGAAUAUCAAGCAACAAUUUCAAGCUUUCACACUUCUGGAUUGAAACACAGUUUAAAGAGGGAAUAAAAACCUGAAGAAAGAGCCACAGGACUGGACUGAGCUAAGGCAUGUUAAUAGCCAUGUUCUAGAGAAACGAUCUAUGAACUCCUCUGCUGAGGUCCCCACACCUGUCCUUGUUCUCUUUCUUCCCGAGGCUGAGUGUCUUUCCUGCUGUUCUGUGAUGCUUUUGCAACACUAAUGAAUAAAUCUCUCUCCAGGAAUUGUUUUCUUUUUCAUGAAACACCUCUCUCCUCCCUUAUCUCACCACAAAAAAGUAAAAAAAUAAAAGAAUAUUUAAUGUUCAGAAUCCACAAGUUAUUGAAACAAAGCUCCUUAUACAUUUCUCUCUUACCAUCAAGAAGUUCGCUAGCACUUUAUUCCUUAUUUUUAAUAAAUAUAUUAAUAUUAUGAGUCACCUUGAAUCUUUAUUGGAAAUAAGUUUUCCAUUCUGGAUUACUUAUAAUGAUCAAAGGCUGAAAACAGGGUUUGAGAUCUGUCAAACACUAUUUAAUGAUCAGCUAAGAAACAGAAGAUUCAUUUAAAAGAGUUUUGCUGAGUGUCUAUGUUAUG
rnacentral:lncRNA from 10 species